AGGGCACUGAGGCCAAAAGCAUCAGGAAUUGCCUAGGGAUUCCAGCUACAGCAACGGGGGCUGAAUUUCUCUAUUGAAGUCAACACAAAGGAAGGCAAAAACUGUUGUUUCUUGGGAAAUUGGCCCACUCUGGUGGAAGAUGCUAAUAUGGACACUAUGGGUGGAAACAUCUGGACAAAGAUGCUCCACGCCAUACAUCCAGCUUGCCAGUGUCUGCUCACUGCCCUUUUUCUCCUCUUAAAAAGUGAAAAUAUUUUGGGAGAAUAGCUCCUUUUUGCUGCAAGUUUAUACAGCAUAUCGUCCAAAGUGGCUCUGGGCCACUAUCAGACACAGCUCCAAACAGUACCUCUAAAUGAACACAUUUCCUCCUGCUUCAUUACCAACUUCUGAGGCUUCCCUGGUGAGGAUCCCAGCUCAGCUGGGCUCCAUUUCCACGGUGAGAGGCACAGGAGAGACAGACGUGCUCCUUUAAGGCAGGGCUCCACACACCUCGGGCAGAGCAUCACCGUAACGCGAUGCGGCAGUUGCUAAGGUUGCAGCUGCCUUUGUUCACUCCCAGCACAGACACCAAACAGAGGUGGUGUGUUUGGCCAAAGCACGGCAGGGAACUUCAUUUGUGUCUUCCAAGAUGCCCCCACGUGUGGUUCUUUGCUUCACUCCUUGGCUGACCAUGUGUUUAUGCCUCCUAAUUGUAUUGGGCUGCUGAUUUGGGGUCAGCAAGGCUGCGUCCCAUGUGUUUUACUUGCUGUGUUAGCAUUAGGGGUUCAAAAUGCACCUGAAGGACUGAGGAAAUAGAAAAGGAAGACGCAUGUAUGGAUCUGAAAAGAUGGCUUGGUUUUUUUCUAACUUUCAGAAAACAACUCUCAUCCUCUGCAGCCCUUCACCUCCCAGCUCAGAAGCAGGUGGAGGAGCAGACUCUGCCAGACUACAGUCCACCCCCUAAUGCUUUGGGGAGACUAAGCAAGAACAGGUCAACAGCCAGCAGUGCGCAUCAGGAAUGGUGAGAACCAGUCUCUUGCAUUAGAAACCAGAAAUAAAACAGCAGCUGAAGAACCGUGGAGGUGCAGAAGGUGAAUAGGAAGGGAGCUGAAACAAAGCACAGUGUGUGGCUGCAGGACCUUCCUCCAGCACCAGCCAUGGGGAACUUUCUCAUUAAAACAAUGUGGAUAGUGUUCCUCAGCUCUCUGCCACUUGUUUUGGCGAAGAGAUGAGACCGUUCCCAUUGCUGCAGCAGUCUGGGAUGACCCCAAGGCACAACCAGCUCUCAGCUGCACUGCCCCAGGCAGUAUGGGAUUGGUUACAGCUCUCUCCCUGUAAUUUGCUUUGAGUUUUCUAUUCCUAGUGCAAACAGCACACACACGUUUUACCUUUGUGUCCUGUGAAUUCCUGGAGCCUUUACAGGUGUAUCCAACAUUUCCAGGUGGUAGCACAGCUAGUUCCACUGGAGACAUUGCCUUUCCCUUUGUUUUUGGUUUGUUGUAUUUUUAACUCAUCAGAUGCUUCUGUCCAAGCCUCACAGUUGGAAAUCUUGUUGCACUGCUUUUAAAGAGCAGAACAAUGC
ensembl:lncRNA